AAAACAUUUAACUUCAGGCACUCUACUCUUCCCAGAUGCUCUCGCAGCUCUGUCUUGCCACAGAAAGGCUUGUAAAGAGGGCUGUGUUUUCAGAAAAGCUUCUUCUCGAGGAGACUUAGUGUGUGCACACACCACGUGAAGUCAACAAGGGCUCAACUUCAAAGUGAAGCAUGUGAAUAAAUAUUAUCCUGACUUGAG